AUCCUGCCAGUAGUCAUAUGCUUGUCUCAAAGAUUAAGCCAUGCAUGUCUAAGUACAAGCCUCACUAAGGUGAAACCGCGAAUGGCUCAUUAAAUCACACCUAAUGUACUGGACAGUCUCAGUUACUUGGAUAACUGCGGUAAUUCUGGAGCUAAUACAUGCGUACUAGCCGCGACUCACGGAGCGGUGCUUUUAUUAGAUCAAAACCAAACGGCCUCGAGCCGUCCCCCUGGUGAUUCUGAAUAACUUUGGGCUGAUCGCACGGACUCGUUCCGGCGACGUGUCCUUCCAAGGUGUGCCCUAUCAACUGUCGACUGUGGCAUAGACGCCCACAGUGGUUUUGACGGGUAACGGGGAAUUAGGGUUCGAUUCCGGAGAGGGAGCCUGAGAAACGGCUACCACUUCUACGGAAGGCAGCAGGCACGCAAAUUACCCACUGGCCGAAGGCCGAGGUAGUGACGAAAAAUAACGAUACCGGACUCAUCCGAGGCCCGGUAAUCGGAAUGAGUACACUUUAAAUCCUUUAACGAGGAACAAUUGGAGGGCAAGUCUGGUGCCAGCAGCCGCGGUAAUUCCAGCUCCAAUAGCGUAUAUUAAAGUUGUUGCGGUUAAAAAGCUCGUAGUUGGAUCUCGGCGGGCAGGGGGUGGUUCGCUCUUCAGCGCUACUGCCCCGCUUUGCCCGUGUGAUUGGCGGAGGUUUCGGGGUGCUCUUCGUUGAGUGACUCGGAGCGCCGUCAGGUUUACUUUGAAAAAAUUAGAGUGCUCAAAGCAGGCUUUUCACGCUUGAAUAUUCGUGCAUGGAAUAAUGGAAUAGGAACUCGUUUCUAUUUUGUUGGUUUUCGGAAAUCGAGUUAAUGAUUAACAGGGACAAUUGGGGGCAUUAGUAUUCAGACGACAGAGGUGAAAUUCUUGGACCGUCUGAAGACUGACUACUGCGAAAGCAUUUGCCAAGAGUGUUUUCAUUAAUCAAGAACGAAAGUUAGAGGUUCGAAGGCGAUCAGAUACCGCCCUAGUUCUAACCAUAAACGAUGCCAGCUAGCGAUCUGCCGAGUUUUUUUUGUAGGCUCCGCAGGAAGCUUUCGGGAAACCAAAGCUUUUGGGUUCCGGGGGAAGUAUGGUUGCAAAGCUGAAACUUAAAGGAAUUGACGGAAGGGCACCACC
rnacentral:rRNA from 1 species